CCUACGGGUGGCAGCAGUGAGGAAUAUUGCUCAAUGGACGGAACCCUGAUCCAGCCACGUCGCGUGAAUGAAGACUGCCUUAUGUGUGUAAAGCUCUUUUUGUAAAGGAAUAGGACUAGGCACCUGUGCAUUUUUCCAUGUACUUUAUCUAUAAGGCUCCGCUAACUACGGGCCAGCAGCCGCCGUAAUACGGCGGAUCCGAGCGUUAUCCGGAUUUAUUGGGUUUAAGGGGAGCGUAGAUGGGUCGUUAAGUCAGGUGUGAAAGUUUGGGGCUCAACCGCAGAAUUGAAAUUGAGACUGGCAGGCUUGAGUACAGGUGAGGUAAGCGGAAUUCGUGGUGUAGCGGUGAAAUGCGUAGAGAUGAGGAAGAACACCGAUGGCGAAGGCAGCUUACUAAACUGUGACUGACAUUGAUGCUCGAAAGUGUGGGUAGCAAACAGGAUUAGAUACCCCAGUAGUC
rnacentral:rRNA from 1 species